rnacentral:tRNA from 1 species
GCCCCGGUAGUGUAGUCUGGCCAUAUCUAUAGAAACAAUCUAUAGGUAUCAGAAUAGCAUCCGAGACUGUCACUCUCGGGACUCGGGUUCAACUCCCGACCGGGGCGCCA